GUUAGACUUAGUUUUGAUAAAUCUAUUUUGUUAGACAAGAAGUUUUUAUGAAAUGCUUAUGGAUUUUCUGUGUGCAACGCAAAAGGGAGAGGUUUGGACAUGGGCAGCACAGGGUGGUGGUGACUCUUGUUGGUGUAGUCCUUAGAUUGCACUUACACUGUCCAGCUCUUCCUUACUCUGCCUUCCCAUUAUGCUGAAGACUAAUCCAGACUCUAAACAUUGAAGUGUUUCAUACUCAUUUCCUGCAUCCCCGAUGUGUCAGUCCAAGUUUAACAUAAUCAGGAGAGGUUUUUAUCAGGGCAGUAAUAUAAAAGAGGGAAAAGAGCAUUUGAUCACUGGGUUUAGCGUAACUACAGUAACCGCAGCCUUCAAAUCCAAUUUCCAUGCGCUGGUCAUAGAUACGGUGUAUUUCUCUGGGAAGUCCUCCCCCAGUUCUAAUUUUUAUCAUAUUCUGCAGAUUUUUCUAAAUGAAUUUUACACAUUAAUGCAAAACCAGAAGAGAAAAGAAUUUUAAUCUAAUGAACUGACUGAAGGAAAAUUACCUGCCAGCGAUAUAAAGUGUGUCUCGAAUUUUCAGCAUCAGUUGGAAGUCCAGUCUGUGCUGAGAUUCAUUGCCUGAAGGGCGUCCUCUAAAUACUGGAUAUUGCCUUGAAUAGUGGUAGUCAACAAUGUUAAUAGGGUCCUCAUCUUCAGGAAAGCUGACAGCUCGGCACUGGGACAGACUCAUUAGCAUCACAGAGGCGCACAGCAGAGGAAGCCUCAUGGCUGGUGACCGAUGGGCGCUGCCUUCCUGGAGACACCGUUAAACUACCUGCCGCUGCCGCUGCCCGGGGCCGCCGCCCGCCGGCGGGGCUGCCUCCUGCGCCCGCUGCCCCCCGCCGGCCGCCCCAUCCCGGCGCUCCGCUCGCUGCCCAGCCAGCGCGGGGGCGGCGCGCCACGCAGAGCCCACCCCUUCCCGCCCUCCUCCUGCCUUAUUAUUUUUUU
rnacentral:lncRNA from 1 species